CCUACAGCCCUCACCAUGCAGUCUGCCCUCAGUCUGCUUUCCAUUCUCACCCUGCUAAGAGGUGUCCAGGGUGAUGCCCAGUUGGUGGAGUCCGGGGGAGACGUGAGACAGCCUGGGGGGUCUCUGCGCCUCUCCUGUAAAGCCUCCGGAUUCACCUUCAGCAACUAUCACAUGAGCUGGAUCCGCCAGGCUCCAGGGAAGGGGCUCGAGUGGGUCGCUCUGAUUUAUACUGAUGGGAGCGGCACCUACUAUGCAGAUUCUGUGAAAGGCCGAUUGACCAUCUCUAGGGACAACGCCAACAGCCUGGUGUAUCUGCAGAUGAACAGCCUGAAAACUGAGGACACCGCCCUGUAUUACUGUGCAAGAGACCCAGUGAGACAAACCACAUCCUGA